rnacentral:rRNA from 1 species
GACGAACGCUGGCGGCGUGCUUAACACAUGCAAGUCGAACGGAAAGGCCCUGCUUUUGUGGGGUGCUCGAGUGGCGAACGGGUGAGUAACACGUGAGUAACCUGCCCUUGACUUUGGGAUAACUUCAGGAAACUGGGGCUAAUACCGGAUAGGAGCUCCUGCUGCAUGGUGGGGGUUGGAAAGUUUCGGCGGUUGGGGAUGGACUCGCGGCUUAUCAGCUUGUUGGUGGGGUAGUGGCUUACCAAGGCUUUGACGGGUAGCCGGCCUGAGAGGGUGACCGGCCACAUUGGGACUGAGAUACGGCCCAGACUCCUACGGGAGGCAGCAGUGGGGAAUAUUGCACAAUGGGCGGAAGCCUGAUGCAGCAACGCCGCGUGCGGGAUGACGGCCUUCGGGUUGUAAACCGCUUUCGCCUGUGACGAAGCGUGAGUGACGGUAAUGGGUAAAGAAGCACCGGCUAACUACGUGCCAGCAGCCGCGGUGAUACGUAGGGUGCGAGCGUUGUCCGGAUUUAUUGGGCGUAAAGGGCUCGUAGGUGGUUGAUCGCGUCGGAAGUGUAAUCUUGGGGCUUAACCCUGAGCGUGCUUUCGAUACGGGUUGACUUGAGGAAGGUAGGGGAGAAUGGAAUUCCUGGUGGAGCGGUGGAAUGCGCAGAUAUCAGGAGGAACACCAGUGGCGAAGGCGGUUCUCUGGGCCUUUCCUGACGCUGAGGAGCGAAAGCGUGGGGAGCGAACAGGCUUAGAUACCCUGGUAGUCCACGCUGUAAACGGUGGGUACUAGGUGUGGGGUCCAUUCCACGGGUUCCGUGCCGUAGCUAACGCUUUAAGUACCCCGCCUGGGGAGUACGGCCGCAAGGCUAAAACUCAAAGGAAUUGACGGGGCCCCGCACAAGCGGCGGAGCAUGCGGAUUAAUUCGAUGCAACGCGUAGAACCUUACCUGGGUUUGACAUGGAUCGGGAGUGCUCAGAGAUGGGUGUGCCUCUUUUGGGGUCGGUUCACAGGUGGUGCAUGGCUGUCGUCAGCUCGUGUCGUGAGAUGUUGGGUUAAGUCCCGCAACGAGCGCAACCCUUGUUCACUGUUGCCAGCACGUUAUGGUGGGGACUCAGUGGAGACCGCCGGGGUCAACUCGGAGGAAGGUGGGGAUGACGUCAAGUCAUCAUGCCCCUUAUGUCCAGGGCUUCACGCAUGCUACAAUGGCAGGUACAGAGAGUGGCGAGCCUGUGAGGGUGAGCGAAUCUCGGAAAGCCGGUCUCAGUUCGGAUUGAGGUCUGCAACUCGACCUCAUGAAGUCGGAGUCGCUAGUAAUCGCAGAUCAGCAACGCUGCGGUGAAUACGUUCCCGGG